rnacentral:misc_RNA from 1 species
GAUAGAACGUAGCGAAAUGCGAUACGUAAUGUGAAUUGCAGAAUUCAGUGAAUCAUCGAGUCUUUGAACGCACAUUGCGCCCCCUGGUAUUCCGGGGGGCAUGCCUGUCCGAGCGUCAUUGCUGCCCUCAAGCACGGCUUGUGUGUUGGGCCUCCGUCCUCCUCCCGGGGGACGGGCCCGAAAGGCAGCGGCGGCACCGCGUCCGGUCCUCGAGCGUAUGGGGCUUCGUCACCCGCUCUUGUAGGCCCGGCCGGCGCUUGCCGACACAUCAAUCUUUUCUCCAGGUUGACCUCGGAUCAGGUAGGGAUACCCGCUGAACUUAAGCAUAUCAAUAAGCGGAGGA